rnacentral:rRNA from 1 species
UACGGAGGAUCCAAGCGUUAUCCGGAUUUAUUGGGUUUAAAUGGUGCGCAGGCGGAAGAUUAAGUCGGCGGUGAAAUUUUGCAGCUCAACUGUAAAAGUGCCAUCGAUACUGGUUUUCUUGAGUGUGGAUGAAGUAGGCGGAAUUUGUGGUGUAGCGGUGAAAUGCAUAGAUAUCACGAGGAACUCCGAUUGCGCAGGCAGCUUACUAGGCCAUAACUGACGCUCAGGCACGAAGGCGUGGGGAUCAAGCAGGA